AAUAGAACUGAAAUCCCAACUCUGGUUGGUUCUUCCCCAUUGGCCCCUUCCAAUUCCAGGCUUUCUCCCCUUCUGAUGGCCUGCUCGACAGGAGGCGGAAAUCCAGCCCUUCAAGUCAUGGUCCUAAUUAGUCCUAAAUAGAACUCAUCUGAACAAAACUGUUCUCACAAGGUUUCACAUGGCCUCCUUGUGGGAUCUCGAGGUGAUUACUACUUGAUUAGAUUAAGCCCAGCAACCAAGGUUAGAUCUAUGCAGCGUUCCUAGUUGAAUUUUCUCACAAGAAUCAAUACGAUUGCGCCGGGCAUGCAUUAGUAGACUGUGCUGUUUAGGUUCCCACUUCCCAGCCACUUUCUCUGCUCUUGCUUUGCUCUGGUGUACUACUUGCUGCUGUUUGCCCUGCAGCAUAUCGAUACAUUCUGUUCAUUCCUGUUGGCCGGCAGAAGUUUGUCCUGCAGAGUGUUGAGGCAGGAAACAGUUGGUAUUAACACAUAUCGCCCUCCUUCUGCAGGCUGCAGCACUCAUCAGCUGACCCAUAUUCAGGUUUCACAUUUUCUGAUGGAAACUUGAGGAGGUAAACAGAUCAGGCUGCCAAAUAGUCUUACCUGCAUUCUGGUCCCGUUGAUCAUCCUUCAUCGGUGCAGACCCAGCUCAAGUUUCAUGACCGGCGCACUUGUUUGUAUUGUUUGUUGGACUUCUUAUCAAAGAGAUCUUGUCAGGAGAGAACAAUUAAUAUGAACACAUCCCGCCCUUCUUUAGCAGCCUAAUCAAUUUACCUUAUCCAGCAGUGAGGCUUUCUUGGUGACUGGCUUAUAAUCUUCUAAUAUCUCUUCUAUACAUCGGUCUAUUCAACCAGUUCUCAUUUCCUUCGGGCAAAAUGGGUUGAUCACUGGAGCGAGAUGAUUACUAUAUAUUGGUUCUUGUAAUCAACCGUUUAUUUCUUUCUGAAAGAUUGGUUUGAAAGCCUCCAAGUUUGCGACACUUCUAGAGAAAUUGCUUCGUGGUGGAUCAACCUUGUCAAGCUUGUAUGAUGGCAGCCAUACUAGAUUCUCUUGUUGGGUCAUGUGCCAAAAAAUUGCAAGAAAUCAUUACAGAAGAGGCGGUUCUGAUUCUAGGGGUAAAAGAAGACCUCAGAGAACUGCAGCGGACAAUGACACAAAUACAAUAUUUCCUUAGUGAUGCUGAGCAAAGGAGAACAGAAGAGUCUGCAGUAAACAAUUGGCUUGGUGAGCUGAGAGAUGCUAUGUAUUAUGCUGAUGAUAUUAUUGACUUGGCAAGGUCUGAAGGAUGCAAGCUACUAGCUGAAAGUCCUUCAUCAUCAAGAAAGUCAACUUCAUGUAUUGGCAGGUCGUUUUUCACUUGCAUUCCUAAUGUUCAGAAGCGUCACAAGAUUGCCGUUCAAAUCAGAGACUUCAAUGCUGAGCUUCAGAAGAUUUCAGAGCUCGGCGAAAGAUAUUUAAAGCUUCAGAAUAUGCAGCCUAAAGCAGAAGUUCCGACAGUGAAGCAAAUGGCAACUAGCCACCUCGUGGAGCCUAAUCUUGUGGGAAAGGAAACAUUACAUGCUUGCAGAAGAUUGGUUGAACUGGUGCUUGCACACAAGGAAAAUAAGGCCUAUAAGCUUGGUAUUGUUGGAACAGGAGGGGUUGGAAAGACAACACUAGCUCAGAAAAUAUAUAAUGACCAAAAGAUAAAAGGACAGUUCGGCAACCAAGUAUGGAUCUGUGUUUCUCAGAAUUACUCUGAAGCUGCUCUUUUGAAGGAAAUUCUUCGAAAUUUCGGGGUACACCAUGAGCAAAAUGAAACUGUGGGAGAGCUCAGCAGCAAGCUUGCAACGGCCAUUGCAGAUAAAAGUUUCUUCAUUGUGUUGGAUGAUGUUUGGGUGCCUGAGGUUUGGACCAAUUUACUGAGAAUUCCAUUACAUGCUGCUGCAACUGGAGUCAUUCUUGUAACAACUCGACAUGAUACAGUGGCACAUGUGAUUGGAGUGGAAGAUCUGCAUCGAGUUGAUUUGAUGCCAGCAGAUGUUGGAUGGGAGUUGCUUUGGAAGAGUAUGAACAUUAGUGAAGUAAAAGAUGUGCAACACCUGCAGGAAAUAGGGAUGGAUAUUGUUCGUAAAUGUGGUGGACUUCCUCUCGCAAUCAAGGUUGCUGCUCGUGUUCUAUCAACUGAAGACAAAACUGAGAAUGAGUGGAGAAAAUUUAUCAAUAGAAGCGCUUGGUCUGUUGGCACUCUUCCUACUGAGCUCAGAGGUGCUUUGUACAUGAGUUAUGAUGACCUCCCACGUCAUCUAAAGCAGUGUUUCCUUAAUUGUGGUACGUAUCCCGAAGAUUGGGUCAUGCAGCGUGAUUACAUUGCCAUGUCAUGGGUUGCUGAAGGAUUUAUACUGGAGCAAAAAGGCCAACUACUAGAAGACACAGCAAACGAGUACUACUAUGAGCUUAUCCAUCGGAAUCUCAUCCAACCAGAUGGUUCAACUUUUGACCUUGCAAAAUGCAAAAUGCAUGACCUCUUAAGGCAGCUUGCUUGUUAUUUAUCAAGAGAAGAGAGUUUUGUUGGAGACCCUGAAUCAUUAGGGGCUAUAAAUAUGUCAAAACUGCGACGCGUUACUGUUGUCACUGAGAAAGAUAUUUUGGUGUUACCUAGCAUGGUUAAGGGUGAACUUAAGGUGCGGGCUUUCCAAACUGAUCAGAAGGCAUGGAGUGUUGAGGAUACAUUUUUCAAGAAGAUUCCAUCUAUUCGUGUUUUGAAUCUGAGUGACUCACUUAUAGAAAGAAUCCCAGAUUAUAUAGGAAAUUUGAUCCACUUGCGUCUACUUGAUCUCGAUGGUACAAACAUAUAUUUUCUGCCAGAGUCAGUAGGCUCUCUCAUGAACCUCCAAGUACUAAAUUUGUCAAGAUGCAAAGCUCUGAACAGCCUUCCUUUGGCAAUCACUCAACUGUGCACUUUAAGGCGCCUUGGUCUGCGUGGUACACCGAUUAAUCAAGUACCAAAAGAGAUAGGCAGAUUGGAAUACCUCAAUGAUUUAGAAGGAUUUCCCGUCGGUGGUGGCAGUGAUAUUGGUAAAACACAAGAUGGAUGGAAGUUGGAAGAGUUGGGGCAUCUGUUGCAGCUAAGGAGGCUUCAGGUCAUCAAAUUGCAAAGAGCAGAUCCUUGUGCUACAGAUUCAUUGCUAGCAGACAAAAAAUAUCUGAAACUUUUGAGUCUAUGCUGCACGAAACAUCCAAUUGAACCUUACUCAGGAGAAGAUGUUGGCAAUAUUGAGAAGAUCUUUGAGCAACUUAUCCCUCCACACAACCUGGAAGAUCUAGUUAUUGCUGGUUUGUUUGGCCGAAAGUUUCCCACCUGGCUUGGUACAACCCAUUUGGUCUCAGUCAAAUACUUGAAGCUCAUAGACUGCAAGUCCUGUGUGCAUCUUCCCCCACUCUGUCAACUAUCAAACCUAAAAUACCUAAGAAUUGAUGGAGCAGCAGCAGUUAGCAAGAUUGGGCCCGAAUUCGUGGGCUGCAGGGAGGGAAAUCCCAGAUCCACGGUGGCAGUUGCUUUCCCCAAGCUUGAAACGUUGAUCAUCAAGAAUAUGCCCAACUGGGAGGAGUGGUCCUUUGUUGAAGAAGGAGAUGCAGCGGCAGCAUCUAUGGAAGGGGAAGAUGACGGAUCUGCUGAGAUUCGAAAAGGGGAAGCCCCGUCUCCAAGGUUGCAGGUGCUGCCACGCUUGAAGAGGUUGGAACUUGUAGACUGCCCCAAGCUGAGAGCUCUCCCAUGGCAGCUUGGACAGGAGGCCACCUGCUUGGAAGGUCUCGGAUUGAGAGGAGCAAGCAGCUUGAAGGUGGUGGAGGACCUCCCGUUCCUCUCUGAUAUGCUUUCAAUCGCGGGAUGUGACGACCUAGAGAAGGUCUCAAACCUUCCGCAAGUGAGAGACCUACGUGUGCAACUUUGUCCAAACCUGAGACUUGUUGAGGGGUUAGGUAGUUUGCAGCAGGUGUUGUUGACUAAUGAUAUGCGUGAGAUCUCCUCACUGUGGUUGCCCGGGCUUCAGCAGCAGUGCAUGCAACAUCACGGUGAAGACUUGGGUAUCUACCCAUGGACAUGGUGAUUACACGUAGCUGCCUGAUUACAUGGUCACAAAGAUGUGAGCUUGGACAUGAGGCCACCAGCUUGGAACUGCUCGGAUUGAGAGGAGCAAGCAGCUUGAAGGUGGUGGAGGACCUCCCGUUCCUCUCUGAGAGGCUUUUAAUCGAGGGAUGUGAUGACUUAGAGAGGGUCUCAAAUCUUCCUCAAGUGAGAGAGCUACGUGUAGACGAUUGUCCAAAGCUAAGGUGUGUUGAGGGGCUAGGAAACUUGCGGCAGCUGUGGUUAGAUGAGGAUAUGCAAGAGAUCUCUGAGCUCUGGGUCUCCGGGCUGCAACAGAAGUGCCAAAGGCUUCACGAUGAAGACCUGGAUGUGUACGACUGGGCUUGAUUAUCAGCCUUGCUGUAUGCAAUCUGAAGACUGAGGCUAUUUAGUCUGAAGAGGUGUUGAACUUUCUGUUGAUAAUUGAAAUAGGCGCGGCAAGUGGUAUCUUUGAGAGAAAAUACAAAAAAUAGUAUAGGUAAAAAAUCCGAAGAAACGAUCAAACCAAAAUGGCAAAAAAAAGUGAAAACAAAGAUCCAAAAAAAAUUGAAAACAAAAAUGGCAAAAAAAAAGAGAGAAAAUAAAAAUCCAAAAAAGUUUCUUUAUUUGUCUUGUAAUUUACUUUUCAGCAAACGUGUCUAUGCGUGUGUUUGUGUUUUGGUAGAGUAGGCAACUCCGUCUAUGUGAGGAACUGUGGACAAAUGUUAUAAUUAUGUCACAUAGCCGGUUCCAAACCCGGGGAAAGGAGGAGGACCAAAUCAUGUUGCAGCUUCUUCGUAUCAACAAAUGUAGAACUUGUGUUGCAUAGCCGGUUUGAAACUCAUCACAUGAUUCUUGUAUGCCGUUUACACAUGUAUACAGAUGGAAUGUACUGAUGUCAGCUCGGAAGACCAUCAAGAAGCUAAUCACAAGGAUUUACGCAA